rnacentral:lncRNA from 1 species
UUCAGUGGAAGAAGUCUGUUGUGUAAUAUUUACACCACAUCAUUUAUUCCCGCCCAACGACAUUUCUUUUUUUUUUUUUGAAAGAAAAGUAUAAUAAAAAUAUUUUUUUAAAAAAAAUUAUGAUAGAAUGUGUGAAUCUUAGGGGAGCCUUUUGAUUGGUUGGGGACACUAAAUCGGUAAUAUAACUGUUGCAUUUCAAAAAUUUUCUACCUUGCGAGUUGUGUUACUUUUUCUUCUUAAAAUUUAAAUGAUUAAUAGUAGGUAUGAAAUGAGACAGAAAAAGAUGCCAAGCUAUUAUUUCUCCAGCAGAAAUUCUACAACUCAGUAUAGAAACAAAAUUUCAAUAAAUUUAAGUGGAAUACUUCAGAAUCCAUUUAUCACUGCAGUAUCAUAUAUAUAUAUAUAGUCCGGCUACUAUACUAUUAUGAGUAUGAUCGCCCUCAUAUUUACAAGUUGUUUUCGAUGAUAGAGCUUCCGAACCGACGAUCCACACCAUUAAACGUUAUCUAGAGCAUUUGAAACAUCUAGAAAUCAAAUUUUAUAAUUUUUCAACAUCAUUUACCUUACGAUCAAAAACUCAUAAAAUUGACAAUUUUUAACGGCCGGUAUGGAAUACUUGUUAGUUUAACGGUGCAAAAGAAUCCGAAUAUGUUGAAUUUUUUAUAGAAAAUUCUAUUCACUACCUAAAUAAAGAUCAAUAACUCCGAUCUUAAAUUGAAGGAUCCGAUCAUCCAUUUUUAAGAUAUCGUUCGAUUUUGACCGUUCAUUUUAUACCCGCUUGAUGGACUUUAUUAUGAUUUUGAAAAAUUACGAAAUUUAUUUUCUAGAAGUUUCAAAUCUCUAGAUCAUAUUUAACGGAGUGGAUCGUCGAUUCGGAAGCUCCAUCAUCAAAAACAACUUAUGAGUAUGAAGGGCCCAAUACUCAUAAUAGUAUAGUAGCCCUACUCUAUAUAUAUAUAUAAUGUAAAUUAAUUUCGAGUUCGGGUCAGGUUUGGAUUUGUGUUGGGUACAAUCAAAAUCCAUAUCCGAAUUCAAAUCCGUCGGAUUUUCGUUUUGAUAUCCACAUCCGAAACUAUAUCUAUUUAGUGUCGAACAAAUCCACUCCAUUCGGGUUCAGAUUCGGAUACGGAUAAAGUUUUGUGUAUCCGUAUCCAUUGACAUUCCUAGAUGAGAGGCUCUCUAGUGCUUCUAGUAUAAAUA